rnacentral:rRNA from 1 species
GGAAGAAUUGCAUCUGAAACUACAAGUCUUGAGUGUAGGAGGGGAGAAUGGAACUUCUGGUGGAGCGGUGAAAUCCGUAGAUAUCAGAAGGAACGCCGGCGGCGAAAGCGAUUCUCUGGCCUAUUACUGACACUCAGUGUGCGAAAGCUAGGGGAGCAAACGGGAUUAGAUACCCCGGUAGUCCUAGCCGUAAACGAUGGGCACUAAGUAGAGGGGAUUACCGACGUUCUCUCUGCCGUAGCUAACGCAUUAAGUGCCCCGCCUGGGGAGUACGGCCGCAAGGCUAAAACUCAAAAGAAUUGACGGGGGCUCGCACAAGCGGUGGAGCAUGUGGCUUAAUUCGAUGCAACGCGAAGAACCUUACCGGGGCUUGACAUGGUAGAAGUAGGAACCCGAAAGGGUAACGAACGGUAUCCAGUCCGUGACUAUCACAGGUGUUGCAUGGCUGUCGUCAGCUCGUGUCGUGAGACGUUGGGUUAAGUCCCCUAACGAGCGAAACCCUUGUUUUUAGUUGCCAGCGGGUUGUGCCGGGCACUCUAGAAAGACUGCCGUCGUCAAGACGGAGGAAGGUGGGGACGACGUCAAGUCAUCAUGGCCCUUAUGCCCCGGGCUGCACACGUGCUACAAUGGUCGGUACAAACGGAAGCGAAGCCGAGAGGUGAAGCGAAUCCAAGC